rnacentral:rRNA from 1 species
AACUGCGAGUGAAGCGGGAAAAGCUCAAAUUUAAAAUCUGGCGGUUUUGCCGUCCGAGUUGUAAUCUGGAGAAGCGUUUUCCGCGUCGGGCCGUGCACAAGUCUCUUGGAAUAGAGCUUCAUAGAGGGUGAGAGUCCCGUCCAUGGCACGGACGACCGAUGCUUUGUGAUACGCUCUCGAAGAGUCGAGUUGUUUGGGAAUGCAGCUCAAAAUGGGUGGUAAAUUCCAUCUAAAGCUAAAUAUUGGCGAGAGACCGAUAGCGAACAAGUACCGUGAGGGAAAGAUGAAAAGCACUUUGGAAAGAGAGUUAAACAGUACGUGAAAUUGUUGAAAGGGAAACGCUUGGAGUCAGUCGCGUCUUGCGGGAUUCAGCCUUGCUUCGGCUUGGUGUAUUUUCCGUUGGACGGGUCAACAUCGAUUUUGGACGGCAGAGAAAGGGAGUGGGAAUGUGGCACCUUCGGGUGUGUUAUAGCCUGCUUUCGCAUGUGUCGUCUGGGAUCGAGGACCGCAGCGCGCCCUUCAUUGGGCCGGGGGCUUGCCUCACGUACCGCGCUUAGGAUGUUGGCAUAAUGGCUUUAAGCGACCCGUCUUGAAACACGGACCAAGGAGUCUAACAUGCUCGCGAGUGUUAGGGUGGAAAACCCUUGCGCGUAAUGAAAGUGAAAGUUGGGACCUCCGCGAGGGGGGCACCGACGCCCGGCCCAGAGCUUCUGCGAGGUGCUGCGGUAGAGCGCGUAUGUUGGGACCCGAAAGAUGGUGAACUAUGCCUGAAUAGGGCGAAGCCAGAGGAAACUCUGGUGGAGGCUCGUAGCGAUUCUGACGUGCAAAUCGAUCGUCAAAUUUGGG